UAUCCACAAGAAGCAUAAAAAAGAUCCAUAUCAAAAGUAUAAAGAAAAAAGGUGUUAAAAGAGGUGUUUUCUUUCAUAUAUUUUUCUCCUUCUUCCAUUAUUCUUUUUCCUAGUCCCCUUCUUC
rnacentral:ribozyme from 13 species